rnacentral:sRNA from 1 species
UCUGAUGGUCCUCUGAUGGAUGCGGC